UAAAAAAACUCUGGAGAGUCUCAAAUAUUAGAGCGCCGAAGGUGUACGGCAGACAGAAAUGUCUGUUAAUCUCUCAGGCAAAAGGACAGGGCAAAUGUA
rfam:Clostridium nexile CAG:348 genomic scaffold, scf46